rnacentral:lncRNA from 10 species
GCAGAGUAGAAAGAUGAAGUGCAAGGACCUGGAAAUCAGACACACCUGGGUUCCUGGUGAGCUUCACUGCUUCCUGGUCUCUGAUAUCAGCUCUGCCCAAAUUUCAGCUGUCACAGAAUGAGUGAUCCUCAUAGUAUAAUGGAAAUGCAUCAUCUCAGUUUCCCCAUGGCCUGAAUGUCCAUACAAAAUGAGAGCCAGUAGAGAAAAACAGAGGACGUGAGGAGUUUUUAAAAAUUGAGGAAAAGUGGAAGGAAAAGUAAGGAUGAAGGUGAAGAUGAAGGAAUAUGUCAGAGAUGCUAGCACUGGCAUCCCCCACCACACAGUACCAUGUACUGCUAAAGAACUCUAGAACAUACAGAUUUCCAAAAGACCUUGGCUCAGGUGUCACUUUUGCAGAAAAGCAUUUACUGACUGUUGACUUGGCCAAAUCCCUGUGCUGUGUUUCCUAGUACGGUAAAUCAACUGUAUCCAGUAGUGGGACAGAUGCAGCAUGAAAGAAGAAAGUUACAAUUGCUUUAUCUGAUGCUGUCACUCAUGCCUGGUGUUGAGAGGCGCACAUUUUAAAAAGUCUAAUAGCUCCGACAUAUCUAGGAAACAGAUGGGAAACAAAUGAAGCAUUGAUGGAUUCGCAAAUUCCAGUUCUUUGAUAUUUGUCUGCCCAGGAAUGGGUGGGACAGAGAAAUGUAAGGGAAUAAUGAGGAUACGGGUGGGGAAAGGCUUGCAAUUUUUCCCGUUCUUCUUUGGAUAUGGACUGAAGGAAGGAUGUGGGGAGGAGGUGUUUAUCUUUUGCUUGUACUCUGAACUUUUCCAAAGUUACUGCAUUCCUUGGGAUAUAAAACUGUAAUCAAGAGUCUCUAAUGGAUAACUGCAAUUAUGCAUUGAGUCAUUCAACAAAUACACAUUAAUACUGACUAAAUUAAGCUCGAAUGGAACUUCAGGGCAAAAGAACAGAGAAAAUAAAAUACCACUAGAGAAGGGAUCUGUGCUCUUUCCUGGACUUAAAUCUCCCACAGCCAGCACGUUUGACAGUUAAACUAGUCAAGCAAAUUAGCACAGGCCCAGAGGAUGAAAUCAAGGUGGGGGCAGGUAAGGUUCACAUAAUAAACACUCUCCCUAGACCCUGGACCUAGGGACAAUACUUCAGGAAGAAUUUUUUUUAUUAAUCUCAUUUAUUCAUUCAUGUAUUCACCAAGUAGUUAUUGAAUACCUCCAUGUGCCAGUCACCUUCAUAGGCUCUGGGAACACAGAGACAAAUGGGGUGCAGCUUUUGCCUUCGAGGACCGCCUGAUAAUGGAGGAGCAUGCUUGUUGUACUGUCCCCACACUUCUUUUUUUUUUAAUUUUACUUUAUGUUCCCGGAUACAUGUGCAGAACUUGCAGGUUUGUUACACGGUAUACGUGUGCCAUGGUGGUUUGCUGCACCUUUUAACCUGUCAUCUAAGUUCUCUCCCCUCGCCUCCCGCCCCCCAACAGGCCCCGGUGUGUUUUUGUUCUUCUCCCUGUGUCCAUGUGUUCUCAUUGUUCAAGCCCCAACUUAUGAGUGAGAACAUGUGGUGUUUGGUUUUCUGUUCCUGUAUUAGUUUGCUGAGGAUGACGACUUUCAGCUCCAUCCAUGUGCCUGCAAAGGACAUGAUCUUGUCCCUUUUUAUGGCUGCAUAGUACGCCCCCUGCACUUCUAAUAAAGAUGGCGCCAGGAAGGAAAGCCCAGUUUGCCUCAUUCCAGAAUGCCCCAACUUCUGCCAAAGAGGAGGUUUCCUCCAUUCACCUGUCCAUUUGGAACACAAUGAAAAUACAGAAUAUGCAGAAUAUGCAGAAAAUACAGAAUAUACAGAAAUAGAUGUAUAUGAAUAUACAUCUAUUUAAGAAAAAUUCACAAGGCCCCAAACUACUCUAGCUUUCCUAGGAAGUAGAGAAGACCCCCUCAAAAAAAAACACUGGCAAACUGAGCCUGCUAUUGGGGAAGGAAAUUCAAGACCAGGAAGGUCAGGACAUGUAUUCAUUAAAUGGCUAUAACACCUCAAUCCAAAUGCAGAGAAAUCUGAUGUACACGCUCCAAGAUAAGCAUCUCUAAGGUACAGUCAGUGGUCAAUUUUUCAACAUUUAUUUAAUAUCUUGCUAUAUUUAUGGCAUCGUGAAAUAGAUGCUGUAUUCCUUCUCUGAAAAUUUUCAAUUGAGGUGGGGACAUGAAUAAAUGUAUUAACCCAUUUAUGCCGGAGGUUGCAAUUUUUGUUUUCUGAAAAAUCAGACCUUGGUGAUGACCUUGAGCGGUAGGAUAUAAAAACUCCCAAAAGCCUAGCGUUUUAAUAAUGGAACACUAGGCAUAAGUAGCUUAAAACAGCAUAGAAAAGUCAUGUAAACUAUACAACAGUCAUGUAGAUAUGGUGCAUAUGGAGACACAGGGUUCCUGGGAAGGGCAAACCAUGGUACAGAGUUUACCAGGGAAGAGUUCCUAGGAGAAAUGAGCUUGGAACUGGAUGUUGGAAGAUCAUCACCAUGUGUGGUGGGGCAAGUCUUCAGCCAAACUUCCCUGGGGCUUUUUUUACUCAUCAAAAAAUGAGUACAAUGCACACAGAUUACAUGAAUUUUGUAAGGAUAAAAUAUGACAACAUUAGUAUGGCAUCCAUGCACAUAGGAGGCACUAAUGAAUAUCACAUUCCUUUCCCUUUUCUAUUUUAUGCUUUCCAUACUUGAUAUUAUUUAAUGAUAGAAAUGUUGAUGAAAAUAAGGAAUAGUACACCUCUCACACUUUCUAUAUUGAGCAUGCAUUACUCUUAACACAGAAAAAAUAAAGCACAAGAUUAAAAUAGUGUUUUAUUUGUAGAGUUUUGGUCUGAAAGAAGUUAACAGGUCCUUAGUAGUCACUUCACAGCAGAAAAUCAAAUGAGGGCUUCCCAGCCACACAGAAAUGUUAUUUUAAUCUGAUGUUCAGUGCCCUUCAGUUGCUAGUUAGACCCGCUUAGACUGAAACAGAUGCCACAAAUGCAAUGCUAUGUUCACCACCCAGUCGCUUUCCAAACACAGGGUAAGGAUUCAGGUC